CUUGCUGGAUAUUCAAAAAUCUUGAGUUGUUCUUGUGGAGCAACAAAGGAACUCCAUGCUGAAAGAGAAGAAAAGCAUCUUCAUCAAUUUCUUUCCAGGCUAUGAGAUUCUUAUGAUUCAUCACAUGAUCAGCUAUUAACAAUGGAUCCCCUCCCAACUGUCAAUAAGUGGGGGUGGCAAUCGGAUUGGGUCGGAUCAUAAACAGGUC
rnacentral:lncRNA from 1 species